GACAGAGGAGGCAAGCGUUGUCCGGAUUGACUGGGCGUAAAGCGUCCGCAGGUGGCAUGCCAAGUGGGGUGUGAAAGCCGGUGCUUAACCGCCGGAGGCCAUCCCAAACUGGCGCGCUGGAGCCGGGCAGAGGGUGACGGAAUUGCCGGUGUAGUGGUGAAAUGCGUAGAGAUCCGGAGGAACACCAGUGGCGAAGGCGACACGCUGGGCCGUACCUGACACUGAACCGCGACAGCAUGGGGAGCAAACAGG
rnacentral:rRNA from 1 species